rnacentral:lncRNA from 1 species
UCUUCUCUACGUGCAUUACAUCUAGACAGUGUCUAACAUCUAACUUACACCAAUACGGAAGAUAAAAAAAGAUUGAUCUCUUCUUCCAUAUUUCACUCACAGUUUGCUUCUUCUUCAUUUUUCCAAAAGUCACAUUAACAUUUUUUAUUUUUUCAUAAAUUUCAACACCACUUAAGGGAGUGGGACAAAUGUCAUGUUCUUGGUAUCC